rnacentral:rRNA from 1 species
UACGUAGGCAGCAAGCGUUGUUCGGAGUUACUGGGCGUAAAGGGUGUGUAGGCGGUCCCGCAAGUCUGGUGUGAAAUCUCCCGGCUCAACUGGGAGGGUGCGCCGGAAACUGCGGGGCUAGAGUGCGGGAUGGGAGAGUGGAAUUCCUGGUGUAGCGGUGAAAUGCGUAGAUAUCAGGAGGAACACCUGUGGUGUAGACGGCUCUCUGGACCGCAACUGACGCUGAGACACGAAAGCGUGGGUAGCAAACAGG